UCUUAUAGAUGAGCAAAGAAAGUGGUUUCUUGGGAUACAAUCUACUUCUGGUGAAGAUGCUGUGAA
rnacentral:pre_miRNA from 1 species